rnacentral:rRNA from 1 species
AUCGACAUUCCACGAUAAAUUUCACUUUAAUUUAAAACUUAUAUACCGCCAUCUCAAGAAUAAAUUAAAAAUAUUUCUCUCAAAAAUAAAUAAAAAGUUAGGUCAAGGUUUAAUCUAUAUUAAAGAUUUAGAUGAAUUACAUUAAAUAUAAUUUAAAGAUUAUAAAUAAAUAUAAUUAUACAAAUAAGAAUUUAAAAGUAAUAUUAAAACAAUAUUAAAAUAUGAUAUAAAAAUUAAAUGUGCACACAUCGCCC